AAGAACAAAAACAGGCAAUAAUGAAAUGUCUGAAUAUUCAGAAGCUACUGAAAUAGUAGAACUGAAUGAGUAGGCCCCAUCUAAUUAGGAUGUAGCUUGAUUAUUUAGAUGAUUACAAAAUUAUCUAGAUAUAACCAAUUGGCGAGGUUAGUUGAUUUCUAAAAAUGAUAUCAUUAGUCAAAAUUAUAGGCAAAAUUAUUAGGCAUAGAAAAUUCGAGAAAAGACAAAAAUAGACAAUAACCAAAAAUAAGAAGAGUUCGAGAAAGGACAGAAAUAACAGACAGUGACCAGAAGUAAGAGACAAACGAAACUUAUGACCAGUAGUCGAAAAUAGACAGUUAGACAGUACAACGAAUCCAGGAAUAAAACUGAACGCAAGGACUGGAACUUCUAUCAACAAAUGUCAAGUAUUAAGAGUGUGUUAGUGAAUUGAAGUAUUUUGAAUAGAAUGAUUGAAGUGAAUUGAAUAACAAGUGUGCAAGUAGCCAGAUGUAUUAGAAGGAUAAGUGUGUGAGUGAAGUGACUGUAUAAGCCUUCACAGGGACAAUUAAUAACAUUGUGCUUAUUGUAAUCAUAGGAAACAAGGACAAAGAGCAGCAAUAGUAGAAGUGGAAGGUUUCAGAAUUAAUGGCAGAUACACCAUCAAAGAGUUGGCGGUUAAAGACUGUCAAUUGGGGGUGGACCGACGUCUAUUGCUUCAGGCCUCCAGAUUCCGAGGAUCGCUUGAGUGACACCGAUAAGAGACGCAUCUUGUGCACUGUGUACCUGCAUGGCCUCCGUUGGACUGAUGGAGAUUAUUCCAUGCUAGAAUUCCUCCAGAUUCGCCAAGGGGGAGGCAGGACUUUGUGAAGCUGUACACCAAGGGCAGAGAGAAGGCACAGAUGUUACAAAGACAGCUAGGCCUCCCCUGCCAGGAUGUGAAAGAGCAUGGAUGCCCACCGUACAGACAUCUAGAUUGCAGCAAGCAGAUAACCUGCAAUUACCAUCGACACCCCAUGAACAUUGUGCCUAUUGGAAAGUAUGUGCAUUAUAUCAAUGGAUACCUAACCGCAACGAGAACGUGUUCCAAAAUUUUAGGAACGAUUUUUAAGUUGACUGUUAGAUACCAUAUUGCUUUAUUUUAUGUUUAAAGGUUUUAUAUGCUUUACCCAUAUAUGCUUUUAUAAAUAUAAUCAUUUAUAUAAUCUUUUGUGUAAUCAUAUAUAUGAAUCUAUUAUGAUAUAUUUUAUAUAAUCUUUUGUGUAAUCAAAUAUACGAAUCUAUUAGGAUAUGUUUUAUAUAAUCAUUUAUCGAUAAUCACAUAUAUACAUUUUGAUGAUGUAAGCAUUGGCUGAUAAAGAGAGAUGGAGACAGUGAGUUGGAUGAUGAAUUUUGUUACAAGUAACAAAAUUUUUCUAAGAAGGGAGGGAUGAAACAACUUGAAAUUUUCUAGGAAAUUUCAUCAAUUGCUUCAAGAGUUUUUAAGUGUUUAAAAAUACUUAGGAGAAAACUUAAAGGUUUUUAACGAAGUAAUUCGAAGAUCUCACCAAUUACUUCAAGAGCUUUGAGUAUUUAAAAGUACUCAGAGUAAGUGUUUAAGGGUUUUAACGAAGUUAUUUAAAGAUUUCAUCAAUUGUUUCAAUAGCUGUAGAUAUUUAAAAAUACUUAGAAUAAAAGCUUAAGAGUUUCAAUACAAGCAAGCAAGUAAAGAUAGAUAUAAAAAGAAAAGGGAGGCGACAAUGGGAUGCCUGUGUUAUGAAAUAAGCCUUGAGAAAUUAAUAAACAAGAACUUGGUUAUACAAGAGGUAACAUUAAGAAGUAAGCAGCAAAACAUGUGCAGUACUUAAAAAUAAGCUUGAGAGGCGAGCCUGGGAAUCAGUGACCCAGGGUCAAUAGCAGAGUUAGUAAGAACUAUUGCAUCACAAACAGGAUGUGAAUGCCAAUACAUGUGACAGUUUGAUGAAGUGUUGGCCUCGCUCUCUUAGCACUAUGGAAGUUACAGAAAAGUUUACAUUUAGUGAAUCAUCUUGGCACUUUGAAGCAGUAUUAGUUACAGUACAUGGGUGUAGCAGCACAAAUGAAUAGGCAGCCGGCUAACACCACUUAUCUAUGACCAAUAACUUGAGAGUUUUGGUUUAGGUUCUGGAUUAGACCAGGAAUUGCCCUAAAAUAUCCAACAGGAGCACAGAACUAUUUUGUGGGUGAUGCUGUGUCCUAUUUGGUGGGAUCGCACGAACACUAGGAAAGUAGAGUUUAAAAACCCAUGUCAGAGACUGAAAAGUCAGUUCCUCGGACAGCAAAAGCUCUCCACCAGUUCUCUCCAAGAAGAAAAUGAAGCUGAAGUUUUCUAAUGUGGUUACAGCCUCCAAAACUCCAACUCUACUGUAAGUAUCGUCUCUCGCUCUCUUGAUCAGCUAGUGUAAGAAGUAUUAAGUCUAAAUAGUAAAGUUUUAUCAGUAAUGUUUUGAUAACUUGCAUGUUAACUCGUCACGACAAAUCCUCUAAUAAAUAAAUUUGGUGUAAAGAUUAGUUUUAAUUGAAACUCCAACAAUUAAGCUCACCUGAGCACUAAUCUUUACACUUUGUCUAAUGUUACAAUGUCCAAUUUAUAAAUUGGAAGUUCAUCUAAAUGUUCAAAUACAUGUAAUAUCAUCAGAAAUUUUCAACCAUUUAAUAUAUAAAGGUCCUUCACGCCCAGACAAAAUCUACCUAUGGUACCAUGAUCAUCAUUUCGGCAUUAUCACUUCAGUGAAAGGUUUUUCCUCGGGAUUAGGAAACUGGAAUUCACGAGAUAAGCUACUGAUGGUCCAUGAUUUUAAUGGGAAGGAAACAGUUUUAAAAGGUUAUAAUUCAUGUGACGAAUUUUGUCAAUUCAUAUUUUUGAAAGAAUUAUGCAGCUAUAGGACAUAAUAUGAAAUGUUUUGACAGGAACUUUAUCUUGAAUUAUUUUAUUCUUCAAGGCAUAAAAGCCGACAUUAUCUUAAAUGGUAGAAAAAUUGUGGUUAUGACCGUCAGAAGUCUCAGAAUUAGAAUAAUUGACAGUUACAAUUUUAUACCUGCCUUUAUCAUUGUUUCCAAACACAUUUGGAUUAGAAGAACUACAGAAAGGAUAUUCCCCUCUUCUUUUCAAUAUAAAAUGAAAUCAGGAAUAUCGAGGACCUAUACAGGAUUCCAGCUUUUACUUUCCUGAGAUCAAGUCAGCAACUGUAAGACAAAAGUUUCUGAAUUGGCACUGUCAGUGACGAGAGGAAGAGUAAGACUUUGACUUUCAAGAAGAGAUGUACAGAUACUGCCGAUCAGAUGUGAAUAUACUUCGACAGUGCUGUCUUCAAUUCAUGGAAGAGUUUCUCAUAACCUGCGAUAUAGAUCCCUUCAGGUACAUGACCAUUGCUUCUGUAUGCAUGGCUGUAUUAUUACGACUGUUAGAGACAUAUUUGAUGGUAAAAAAUUAGAAAAAGGAAGUAAUGUCUAAUAACACCGCGCAAUCUUUAUAUUAAAACCCUACACAUCAUGCUAGGUUUGGCAGAGUACAACCUUUAUUUAGAUGUAUAAAAGUGCUAGGUAAAUCUGUAACUAUAAAUCAGGUUAAAGACUGUGUCAGAACUUUUAAAUGCGUGUAUAUAUGGGUAUGAGCUAAGGAUUCUUCUACAGUAGGUGUCUGUGAAUUGUUGGCGAUAAAUUCGAACAAUAAAGUGACAGCAAGUACUCAACUUGUUAUAACAUAAUAUAUUAAAACAAGUUAAACAUAUGUACAAAAUGCUCUUUACACUAUGAAGAUCACAGCUGUAUCUUAACCACUAUACAGUUCUCUUCUUGUUGUCAAAAGUCCAGUUAGGCUAAUUCAACUGCUUUAAAAUCCGGUUGACAAGCCAAACUAUUUUUCUCUACUUGUAUCACAAUAGUAUCAGUAAAUAAUUCGCUUAUGCUGCCUCAUGAGUUACCACAGUUGUAUCCUGAUCUUCCAAUGAUUGUCUUCUUUUUGUCAAAGUCCACACAAGCGGGUUCAAUUAGUUUAGAACAUCCUUUGACAAGACAAAUUAUUCUCCUUAUCUCUAUCAAAUUGUUAAUUUCACUUUAAAAUAUCAACCACUGAGGCUAUUCACUCGAACAAUGGCCAACUUCGUGUUUUCUAGCUUUUCUCUAACUGAACUUCUCUUUCACUCGACUUCCACUUGUUUGGUUGUCGCUAUUUAUAUGUUUAUGACUGAGACAACCAGAAAUUUCUAUAGCCUCGACACUAAUGAAUUGCAAACACAAUGUAUAACUCCAACCAAACUUGUCAUAACUAUCAUCUUUAUAUUAAUUGCUUUUAACUCUCUCAUUAUGAAAAAAAAAUUAACAAUUGAAUAAUAUUACCUAUAAUAAACAUUCUUGUAUAUCCAACAGACAGCUUAACCCGA